rnacentral:rRNA from 1 species
GUCCACGCCGUAAACGAUGGAAGCUAGCCGUUGGCGGGUUUACUCGUCAGUGGCGCAGCUAACGCAUUAAGCUUCCCGCCUGGGGAGUACGGUCGCAAGAUUAAAACUCAAAGGAAUUGACGGGGGCCCGCACAAGCGGUGGAGCAUGUGGUUCAAUUCGAAGCAACGCGAAGAACCUUACCAGCCUUUGACAUGCCUCGUAUGGUCGCCAGAGAUGGCUUCCUUCCCGCAAGGGGCGAGUGCACAGGUGCUGCAUGGCUGUCGU